UGCGUAGGCGGUCCUAUAAGUAUGGUGUGAAAUCUCCCGGCUUAACUGGGAGGGUGCGCUAUAGACUGUGGGACUAGAGGGUGGGAGAGGAAAGUGGAAUUCCUGGUGUAGCGGUGAAAUGCGUAGAUAUCAGGAGGAACACCGGUGGUGUAAACGGCUUUCUGGACCAUUUCUGACGCUGAGGCACGAAAGCGUGGGUAGCAAACAGGAUUAGAUACCCUGGUAGUCCACGCCCUAAACGAUGCAUAUUUGGUGUGGGCCAUUCAUUUGGUCUGUGCCGGAGCUAACGCGUUAAAUAUGCCGCCUGGGGAGUACAGUCGCAAGGCUGAA
rnacentral:rRNA from 1 species